rnacentral:rRNA from 1 species
UACGUAGGUGGCAAGCGUUGUCCGGAAUUAUUGGGCGUAAAGCGCGCGCAGGUGGUUUCUUAAGUCUGAUGUGAAAGCCCACGGCUCAACCGUGGAGGGUCAUUGGAAACUGGGGAACUCGAGUGCAGGAGAGAAGAGUGGAAUUCCACGUGUAGCGGUGAAAUGCGUAGAGAUGUGGAGGAACACCAGUGGCGAAGGCGACUCUUUGGCCUGUAACUGACACUGAGGCGCGAAAGCGUGGGGAGCAAACAGG